GCUUACGGCCAUACCACCCUGAACACGCCCGAUCUCGUCUGAUCUCGGAAGCUAAGCAGGGUCGGGCCUGGUUAGUACUUGGAUGGGAGACCGCCUGGGAAUACCAGGUGCUCUAAGCU
rnacentral:rRNA from 1 species